AGCCUCAAGGUUUUAUUUGAGGCGAGGCCUGCCCAGUGCUAGUUGUAAACGGCCGCAGUACCUUGACUGUGCUAAGGUAGCAUAAUCAGUUGGCUUUUAAAUGGAGUCGGGAAUGAAUGGAUUUAUGGGGUGAAGCUGUCUCUUUUGUAUAAAAUUGAAUUUUCUUACUAGGUGAAAAUGCUUAGAAUUAGAAAAAAGACGAGAAGACCCUAGGAGUUUUUAUUAGUGGCUAAGUGUAAGUUAGCUAACGUUUUUGUUGGGGCGACAUAGGAGUAAUUGAGAUAUAACCUCCUUUUUUGAUCUGCCGACUUAGUAUGGGCAAGUAAACUACCCUAGGGAUAACAGCGUAAUCCUUUUAGGGCUUGCGACCUCGAUGUUGGACUAGGAAUUUAGUAGGCUAGCCGCUUACUUAUAUUGUUCUGUUCGAACUGUUUUUCCU
rnacentral:rRNA from 1 species